rnacentral:rRNA from 1 species
AGCAGUCGCCGCGGUAAUACGGAGGGUGCAAGCGUUAAUCGGAAUUACUGGGCGUAAAGCGCACGCAGGCGGUCUGACAAGUCAGAUGUGAAAUCCCCGGGCUUAACCUGGGAACUGCAUUUGAAACUGUCAGGCUGGAGUCUUGUAGAGGGGGGUAGAAUUCCAGGUGUAGCGGUGAAAUGCGUAGAGAUCUGGAGGAAUACCGGUGGCGAAGGCGGCCCCCUGGACAAAGACUGACGCUCAGGUGCGAAAGCGUGGGGAGCAAACAGGAUUAGAUACCCGCGUAGUCCCUGUCUCUUAUAC